UACAGAGGGUGCGAGCGUUGUCCGGAAUCACUGGGCGUAAAGGGCGCGUAGGCGGCUCAGUAAGUCCGCUGUGAAAGUCCAGGGCUCAACCCUGGAAUGCCGGUGGAAACUGUCGGGCUGGAGUCCGGAAGAGGCGAGUGGAAUUCCUGGUGUAGCGGUGAAAUGCGCAGAUAUCAGGAGGAACACCAAUGGCGAAGGCAGCUCGCUGGGACGGUACUGACGCUGAGACGCGAAAGCGUGGGGAGCAAACAGG
rnacentral:rRNA from 1 species